AUCGCUUCUUGGCCUUUUGGCUAAAAUCAAGUGUAGUAUUGCUCCUUUCAUAUUUUGUCAAUCAAAAAUGGGAUCAUUUCAGUUUACAGGUACUUUUGCAAUGAGUUUGAAGAAAAAUGCUGAGCAUUUUUUUUUAAAUAUAGUGAACAUACUUUUUACAAUCAAGUUUAUUCUCUUCCCCAU